rnacentral:rRNA from 1 species
GACGAACGCUGGCGGCGUGCUUAACACAUGCAAGUCGAACGGAAAGGCCCCUUUGGGGGUACUCGAGUGGCGCACGGGUGAGUAACACGUGAGUAACCUGCCCUUGACUUCGGGAUAACUUCAGGAAACUGGGGCUAAUACCGGAUAGGAAUCCUUGCUCCAUGGGGGGGGUUGGAAAGCUUCGGCGGUUUUGGAUGGACUCGCGGCUUAUCAGCUUGUUGGUGGGGUAGUGGCUUACCAAGGCUUUGACGGGUAGCCGGCCUGAGAGGGCGACCGGCCACAUUGGGACUGAGAUACGGCCCAGACUCCUACGGGAGGCAGCAGUGGGGAAUAUUGCACAAUGGGCGGAAGCCUGAUGCAGCAACGCCGCGUGCGGGAGGACGGCCUUCGGGUUGUAAACCGCUUUCAGCAGGGGCGAAGCUUGUGGUGACGGUACCUGCAGAAGAAGCACCGGCUAACUACGUG